GAUCAACGGUAUACGAAAUAACACCUUCUUUCUCUUCGUCCAAAGCUUUUAUAACUUUCCCCGUUGGUCCUAUUAUUUUACUAUGCCCAAAAAACGAAAGUUUUUCGUCUGUACCGACUCUGUUGGCAGCCACCAGUGGAAUGCAGUUUUCAAAAGCCCGUGCUUUUGUAACCAAAUCCCAAUCGUCGGAAUAAGGGUUUUCCCAGUUUGUUGCGACUACCAGUAAAUCGGCACCGUUCAGCGCAUGAAUUCGCGCAACCUCAGGAAACGCAGUAUCCCAACAAAUCAUGACACCUAAUUUUCCAAAGCUAGUCUCGAAUAUUGGGAAAUCGGAACCCUUUUUGAAAUGUUUACGCUCGGUGUCAAAAAGGUGAACUUUUCUGUACACACCGCCUAAAUUUCCAUUUUCGGUGAUGUAAAUGCACGAAUUGUAAAUUAUAUUUGAUUGCUUCUCUUCUUUUUCUGGGAAUCCGUAAAUAAUGUUAACAUGGUACUUUGCGGCCAGAUUGCUCAUUGUUUUAAAACUUGGGCCUUCACCGGCAAUUUCAGCGAUUUGGGUAAAAGUGUUGCCGCAUUCAUAUCCUGAAGUUAUCAAUUCAGGGAAUAAGAUUAGGUUUGUGCUAGGAUUUGACUCCAUCACUUCAUGAACAUAAGAACUCAUCUUUUGUAAAUUGUGUUUUACAUCACAAACUUUGGGUGCCAUUUGCACGCACGCGAUAUUAGCCUUCAUGAUUCCGGUAGAAGCGAACGUUGUAGAAAACGAUGAGAACGUUUCGUUCUAAAUUACUUACAUUAUUAUAAUAAAUCUGCCAUGAAAUGCCCAAGAUACUGGAAGUAAAGACUAUUCUAA